rnacentral:rRNA from 1 species
ACCUUUAACUUCUUUGGUUGGCACGACAGAAGUGAACCCGCGUUUCUCCGGUUCGUCUCCACCACUUGGGACUUUCACUUCGAGAUCCUAUCCUCUUGCCCUCGGUUGUUUGUUCUUCUUAUUUUCGAUCCUCCCCAGGCUCUAAGGGCGACCUGGAACCAAGGGAAGGGAAAAGAACCGAGUAACCUUCCGGGACGGACGGUAGACCCAAGGGCCGCUGACCGCGUCCUCUCGCACCCCAAAACCCUUGAGGUCGUAGUUGGGGUAGUAAAGAAACCACGUGACCGAAAACCCCGCUUUAACAUAGUCCACGACACAAGUACCGGGUUCCCAUGACUAACCACCCCUAGGGUCGCGAACGUUGCCAAAACAGGUUCUAAUCCACCGAACAAGAGUUCGUCGGCAUUAGCGGCCUCAACCACUCCGUUCCCCAAUUCUUGUCCCCACAAUGUCUAACUCCUUAGGGAGGCCAGUGCAGACCAAGUAAGAACCCGAACCCGUACCUCUCCGUCUGGUCGAAGGCGGACCCGCGCGACCUCUUCGAGUUCUCGAAGGCCCCCUACCUGUUGAAGGCCGCCUCGUUCCUGUCGGGGCCGUUCGCACCACUGUGCGGCGAGGUGGAGCGCCGCUCCCGGCCGUCACAGAGGUUACAGGUCUCCUAGGAACGGCUUAGGCCGGCCCUCUACCGGCCGCUCGACCGGCGGGCCGGCUUGGUCCUGCCCCUCUGCCGCGACAUGCACCGGCGACUGUUCCCCGUGUGGCUCCACCACGCGCUCUAGGACUUCCAGAGACUAUACGUCUGCCGCCCCUAGUUCCGGUCGUUGUCGAAGCUGCGAAAGGUGUAGCGCCGGUUCGUCCCGGUAGACCUACAUAACUUCCUCGACAACGUCCGGAAAGGACGAGAUCGUUACUGAUGUUUGAGACAUUUGCGGUGCCGAAACCUUUGACGACGGUAAGUCCCAGUGUAACUAUAACAGUUGGAGGAUGACCUUUGACUACGAUCGGAACGGUUUUAACGCUCUUUAUUACCCUUUUGUCAAAACGUAAGGCGCCGCUCCUACCCGGUACACCUUCAACAUUCUAGGAACAAUUUAUUCCUAGGUCCCUAACCAAACUCUUGUCUGUUCUUCCCUGUCUGCCGUGACGUAUACCGCAGGUUUCCUUGCUUACGACUUUAACACCAACUCAACAACUUCGGACUAAAGAGUCAAUCGGUAGAUCUUCUAUUGUUCCCCUUGUCCGGUGACGUACAACGCUGAGCCUUCCCGUUAUAGCAAUAUAACGUCUGAGAUGAUAGUCAACUCCCCUAACUACAGUUACGUCAAUUGUCUAGACCUCUCUGACGAGAACGGUAACGACUCUUCUACUUGUUGGUUCUUGAACAGUUGUAAGACUCUCUGCGGCCGCCGCAGCAUUGACGUUUUCUCGGCCGCGUAGGACGUUUGGGCCGUUUCGUCGACUUCGUUUGGCACUCGCUAUAGUCCGUGCUGCAGGUCAGGGUCUAGUUCGUCUGUGCCGUCUGGUUCUACGUCCAGGUCUUCUAGUUCUCGUCCGACCUCUUCGAGGUGUAGCCGCCGGACUUGUUGCGGUAGUUGAGGUUGUGCCAGCACCGCCACGAGUAGCGGUGGCACCGGAAGCGGCGGUAUAAGUGGCACGGGCCGUUGAAGCACCUCCUGUACUCGGUCCGCGGGGGGCCGUACAGGGACCCCGUCCGCAUGCACCGGUCGCUGGGCCGGAAGUAUUACAAGGACCACAAGCUGAGCGACCGCGAGAAGUAGAGCGAGCGGCAGCACCAGCAGGUCUGCAGCGACUAGCACCACCUCGUCUUCCGGUUCUCCUCCUACCACAAGCACUACUUGUUCGAGUACACCGACCGCACGGAGAAGUAGAGGCGCCGCAAGUAUCGCGACUGGAUGCAGCACCAGCCGGCGCCUCUGACCACCGACCGUACCACGUGGUACCGGUAGCCGCGCCACUAGUACGAGUGGUGGGAGCCGAGGUACACGAUGACGUAGCACCGCGUGUCCUACCUCCUCUUCUCGUACUCCUUCUAGUCCUUCCGGAGGCGCUCGGUCAGGGCUAGUACCAGGUACGGCCAGCUGACCCUGGGCCUCGACUAGUUGUGGCUCAUGUUCUUCUACAUGCGCAACAUCUAGUCCCAGUGCUAGUGCAGCGCCCCUAGACAUGUAUCAAUAAUAGUAGUCCGCGACAAAGCGAGCUCAGAGAAGCUAGCUCACUACUUAUUGAAAGUCACCCCAAAACUGUAAAACUGUACUUGGCUUCCAUGAAAACGACGACUUUGUCAUAGUGGAGUCGACACGAACAUAACGUCGGACCUACCUCUAUUCCGUGGACCUGGGCAGACCACGUACGACAUACCUAAGCACCAUCAGGAACAUUCACCGUAGAACAUGCGUAUUAAAACGUGCUCAUGGAUGUCAAAAAUCUCUUCCCUCGUUUUCUAAAUAUUCUUUAAGAGCACCCUACGCUUGUAAGC